rnacentral:rRNA from 1 species
UACGUAGGGUGCAAGCGUUAAUCGGAAUUACUGGGCGUAAAGCGUGCGCAGGCGGUUGUGCAAGACCGAUGUGAAAUCCCCGGGCUUAACCUGGGAAUGGCAUUUGGGACUGCACGGCUAGAGUACGGCAGAGGAGACUAGAAUUCCUGGUGUAGCAGUGAAAUGCGUAGAUAUCAGGAGGAAUACCGAUGGCGAAGGCAGGUCUCUGGGUCGAUACUGACGCUCAUGCACGAAAGCGUGGGGAGCAAACAGG